AUGAACGCUGGCGGCGUGCCUCAUACAUGCCAGUCGAGCGCACAGACGAGGAGCUUGCUCCUUUGACGUUAGCGGCGGACGGGUGAGUAACACGUGGGUAACCUACCUAUAAGACUGGGAUAACUUCGGGAAACCGGAGCUAAUACCGGAUAAUAUUUCGAACCGCAUGGUUCGAUAGUGAAAGAUGGCUUUGCUAUCACUUAUAGAUGGACCUGCGCCGUAUUAGCUAGUUGGUAAGGUAACGGCUUACCAAGGCAACGAUACGUAGCCGACCUGAGAGGGUGAUCGGCCACACUGGAACUGAGACACGGUCCAGACUCCUACGGGAGGCAGCAGUAGGGAAUCUUCCGCAAUGGGCGAAAGCCUGACGGAGCAACGCCGCGUGAGUGAUGAAGGUCUUCGGAUCGUAAAACUCUGUUAUUAGGGAAGAAUAAACGUGUAAGUAACUGUGCACGUCUUGACGGUACCUAAUCAGAAAGCCACGGCUAACUACGUG
rnacentral:rRNA from 1 species